rnacentral:rRNA from 1 species
AGAUUGCGUCAGUAGCGGCGAGCGAAAGCGCAAGAGGGCAAACCCAGUGCUUGCACUGGGGGUUGUAGGACUGCAAUAUGCAAGAGGUAAGUUUAGCAGAACAUUCUGGAAAGUAUAACCAUAGAGGGUGAUAGUCCCGUAUGCGAAAAACAAACCUUAGCUAGCAGUAUCCUGAGUAGGGCGGGACACGAGGAAUCCUGUCUGAAUCCGGGUCGACCACGAUCCAACCCUAAAUACUAAUACCAGAUCGAUAGUGCACAAGUACCGUGAGGGAAAGGUGAAAAGAACUGAGGUGAUCAGAGUGAAAUAGAACCUGAAACCAUUUGCUUACAAUCAUUCAGAGCCCUAUGUAGCAAUACAGGGUGAUGGACUGCCUUUUGCAUAAUGAGCCUGCGAGUUGUGGUGUCUGGCAAGGUUAAGCAAACGCGAAGCCGUAGCGAAAGCGAGUCUGAAUAGGGCGCUUAGUCAGAUGCUGCAGACCCGAAACGAAGUGAUCUAUCCAUGAGCAAGUUGAAGCUAGUGUAAGAACUAGUGGAGGACUGAACCCAUAGGCGUUGAAAAGCCCCGGGAUGACUUGUGGAUAGGGGUGAAAGGCCAAUCAAACUUCGUGAUAGCUGGUUCUCUCCGAAAUAUAUUUAGGUAUAGCGUUGUGUCGUAAUAUAAGGGGGUAGAGCACUGAAUGGGCUAGGGCAUACACCAAUGUACCAAACCCUAUCAAACUCCGAAUACCUUAUAUGUAAUCACAGCAGUCAGGCGGCGAGUGAUAAAAUCCGUCGUCAAGAGGGAAACAACCCAGACUACCAGCUAAGGUCCCUAAGUCUUACUUAAGUGGAAAACGAUGUGAAGUUACUUAAACAACCAGGAGGUUGGCUUAGAAGCAGCCAUCCUUUAAAGAAAGCGUAAUAGCUCACUGGUCUAGUGAUUUUGCGCGGAAAAUAUAACGGGGCUAAAGUAAGUACCGAAGCUGUAGACUUGCGCACAACUUAGAUUAUUUAAGUUUAGAAUAUGAGAAACUAAGUUAUGUUUAGUUAUAUUUUUACUGAUUUUUAUAGAGUAAAGAUAGAAAUAAAACUUAGUAAAAUCAGUAAAAAUAUUCUUAGGCUAAAGUUAAGUAGUUUAAGUUGUGUGCAAGUGGUAGGAGAGCGUUCUAUUUGCGUCGAAGGUAUACCGGUAAGGAGUGCUGGAGCGAAUAGAAGUGAGCAUGCAGGCAUGAGUAGCGAUAAUUAAUGUGAGAAUCAUUAACGCCGUAAACCCAAGGUUUCCUACGCGAUGCUCGUCAUCGUAGGGUUAGUCGGGUCCUAAGUCGAGUCCGAAAGGGGUAGACGAUGGCAAAUUGGUUAAUAUUCCAAUACCAACAUUAGUGUGCGAUGGAAGGACGCUUAGGGCUAAGGGGGCUAGCGGAUGGAAGUGCUAGUCUAAGGUCGUAGGAGGUUAUACAGGCAAAUCCGUAUAACAAUACUCCGAGAACUGAAAGGCUUUUUGAAGUCUUCGGAUGGAUAGAAGAACCCCUGAUGCCGUCGAGCCAAGAAAAGUUUCUAAGUUUAGCUAAUGUUGCCCGUACCGUAAACCGACACAGGUGGGUGGGAUGAGUAUUCUAAGGCGCGUGGAAGAACUCUCUUUAAGGAACUCUGCAAAAUAGCACCGUAUCUUC